GAAUCAUUUAACGAUCCACCUCCGCCCAGAAGAAACGCAUUUUUUUCAGUCUUAUCUACCAUGACAAAGUUAUGUCUGCCUUUUAUAUUUUUCAGUUGGACCGUCCUCGUCAAUGCUAUCGAGGCUAAGAAUUGCACCACUGACAGCAAUUUCUCAACUUCCUUGGCGAAAUUCUCGGUAUCUCUCUACCAGGCUACUUCUAACAGUAUUGGAAAAUAUGACAAUCUCGUAUUAUCUCCGUCCAGUAUUUCUCUGGUUUUAGCCAUGGCGUUGAUUGGAGCGCAAGGUAACACCGCCAAGCAAAUCAAAGAAGCGUUUCAUGUGACUACCCAAGAUGACGAGACGAUUGCUUGCAAUAUCGGCACCUUAAACAGACCAACUCAAGGAAGUGGCGUUACUCUGUCAACCGUGAAUCGUGCCCUGGUUUCAGAUGACUUUCGCUUGACGGAAUUCUUCCGUUCAACGUUACAAAAUCAAUUUUCUGCUACGGUAGAAAACGUCAACUUUUCUCUUCCUUCCACUCUAGAAGCAGUUAACAAACAAAUCGAAAAGUUAACCAACGACAAAAUAAGAAAUUUAAUUCCAAAAGAUUCUCUUGGGGCUUCCACCAAACUGAUUCUGUUGAAUGCCAUCUAUUUUAAGGGCAACUGGCUCAAAGCAUUUGAUUCCACUAAAACCAGAGUCAGACCUUUUUAUGUCAGUCCCAACCACAAGCCCAUACCAACAAAAAUGAUGGCCAGUCGAAAUUAUUUUCGCACAGCGUUUAUCAAAGAAGCAAAUUUGCGAGCUCUCGAGUUACCUUAUUCGGGCUCGCAAUUCAGUAUGGUUAUUCUUCUACCAAACCAACUCAAUGGAUUGACUCAUUUAGAAUCUUCAUUAUCUCCUAAACUCCUCAGCUUUAUUGAUAGCAAAUUGAACAAAAUUCAAAUGGACGUCGUUAUUCCGAAAUUCAAACUCGAAUUUUCCCCUGAUCUUAAAAGUGUCUUGAGAAGUGUGGGUAUCGUUGAUUUAUUCAAUACCGAUGCUGAUCUCUCCAAAAUUUCAGGCUCUAAAGAAUUGUUCGUCUCCGAUGCUUUCCACCGAACCAUUAUUGAAGUAAAUGAAAAAGGAACUGAAGCUGCCGCUGCUACAGCAUUCAGGUUUAUAGCGCGGAGUUUCAGGCGAACUCCAUUUAUUCCAAAAUUCGUAGCUGACCAUCCAUUCAUUUUUCUUAUCCGUGACAACAGGAAAAAUACAAUUCGAUUCGUGGGGCGCUUCUGUAAACCCGAAAAAAAUUAAAACAUCAAAAAUAUCCAAAACAUAUUUUCUUGUUAAUUCGAUUGUGAUCACAGCCUCCCAUUUAAAUUCUACCAUUAGUUUCACUUAUCGUACGCUAGAUGGGUCUGAUAAAAGAAAAACAAAAUAAACAAACACUGUGCGUUCAUAGCGGUUUACUUCGUGGUGCGUGUGUUGAUCAAAAUGUUUUUACUUCAUCAGUUGAAUGGAAAACGAUUAUUACUGGUUGGUGAAGGCAACUUUUCCUUUACAAUAUCAUUACUUCUGAAAAUCUCUGGAAAAAAAUCAACAAAGUUGUCGACAUCGCCUAAUAUAAUAUCAUCUUGCUUUCAAAAGUAUAGAGAUCUUUCUUGCUCUAUCAAAGAGAAUGCCAGAUUUGCUUGUAAACUAGGAGCUGAAAUUUGGUUUGGCGUGGAUGCAACAAUUUUGCACCAACACGAGAGAUUCAAGAAUGAACUAUUUGAUUACAUUGUAUUUAAUUUCCCUCAUGUUGGAGGAAAAAUGAAACUACAUCUAAAUCGUCUGUUGCUCAAAAAUUUCUUCGCAAGCGCCAACUUCUUGUUAAGUGAGGAAGGGAAAAUAUUAGUUACAUUGUGCAAAGGACAGAGUGGAACACCAUAUGACACUGAAAGAAAAUAUGGAGACACAUGGCAAAUUAUUGAAAUGGCCACUUAUGGAGAACUCAUACUUAAUGAAGUUCAUCCUUUUCGCUCAUGUGACUGGCCAGUGUACAAUUCAAAUGGUUACCGAAGUCUAGAAAAAGGAUUUCAACUGGAUGAAGCUCUUACUUUCAUCUUUGUAAGGAGGCCCUUAAGUAUUCAAUGUCAAGCCACCAUCAACAAGGAAGAAUUCAACCAUUUACACUGCCCCUACGUUCAAAACCAUUUGGACCAACUAGAAAAUAGUAUUUUUGAAGAAAUUCAUCUUUUUUAUCCCUUUUUCAGAAGAACAAAGGAUGCAUUAAAUGUGUGCAGAACUCUGAAAACUGCCUGUAUUUGCCAGCACAACGCAACAAUCGAUUGGUGGGAAAUGGUUCUUAGUGAGAAAAAAUACUAUGAUAUAAUGUGCUGCUUGUUGUGCUAUUCAUGUUGGCAAAUGCACUCUAAUGCAAGUGCAAAUCCCGUUCAAAAAGUUAUUGUAAUGAAUUGUACAUCAGAAUUUGAUGAUUCUUUGCUUUCCUUCCUUCGUCGUCGGUGCGCUCAACAAGUAGAAGAAGAUUCGUCAAUUAUUCACUUCGCAGAAACGGGAAAUUCUCUAAAAAUCGCCACAGUUUUCGCUAAUAAGGACAAUAAGACAUUCACCGUAGCUAUUUAUGUCGAUGCGUUUCUUCAGCUAGGAGCAAACUUUGUUGAUCCUGGGCUUUCUUUCCCUUUUAAAUCUGAUUGGUUGACGUCAAACAAGUCUUUAUAUCCACCAGUAUGUUUUCACGAUCUCUGCUUUUGGAUAUCGGACGAUUUUUCACCAAGACAUUUUGCUUGUGCACUACUCUAUGUUGCAGGAAAGAUUGUUAAGAGUUUUAAACUUAUUGAUGAGUAUUUUUGUUCAAUCAAAAACAAGAAAAGCUUAUGUUAUCGAAUUGAGUAUCAAUCGCUAUUUCAAGCUUUAAGUCCACAAAAAGCCUUUCAUGUCCAAAUAAAUUUAAUAAAGCCCUUUUUGGAAGCCUGCCUUGGUGUAACAGUUCGUUAACGUCCGUUAACUGGCAGCCUUAUCCGUUAACAUUUCAAGUACGAUGUAAAUCACACCUUUCUUGUAGUGCUGUCCUAUGCACACAUUACACAUACAUUGUUUGUCUUUUUUA